rnacentral:tRNA from 1 species
GGCUCAGUAGCUCAGUUGGUAGAGCAAAGGACUGAAAAUCCUUGUGUCGGCGGUUCGAAUCCGUCCUGAGCCACCA